UCCGGCUUAACGCCGGCAGUCCCCCUAGAGUGCCCAACUGAAUGGUGGCAACUAAGGACGAGGGUUGCGCUCGUUGCGGGACUUAACCCAACACCUCACGGCACGAGCUGACGACAGCCAUGCACCACCUGUGAAGGUGCCCCGAAGGGAGACCGUGUUUCCACGGCUGUCACCUACAUGUCAAGCCCAGGUAAGGUUCUUCGCGUUGCAUCGAAUUAAUCCACAUGCUCCGCCGCUUGUGCGGACCCCCGCCAAUUCCUUUGAGUUUUAGCCUUGCGGCCGUACUCCCCAGGCGGGGUGCUUAAUGCGUUUGCGACGGCACGGAGGGGGUUGAUGCCCCCCACACCUAGCACCCAACGUUUACGGCUGGGACUAC
rnacentral:misc_RNA from 1 species